AUUGAACGCUGGCGGCAGGCCUAACACCUGCAAGUCGAACGAGUGGCGGACGGGUGAGUAAUGCCUGGGCAACUGCCUGAUGGAGGGGGAUAACUACUGUAAACGGUAGCUAAUACCGCAUACCAUCGGAUGUGCCCAGAUGGGAUUAGCUAGUCGGUGGGGUAAAGGCUCACCUAGGCGACGAUCCCUAGCUGGUCUGAGAGGAUGACCAGCCACACUGGAGCUGAGAAACGGUCCAGACGCCUACGGGAGGCAGCAGUGGGGAAUAUUGGACAAUGGGCGGAAGCCUGAUGCAGCCAUGCCGGGUGUAUGAAGAAGGCUUUCGGGUUGUAAAGUACUUUCAGCGGGGAAGCGUUACCCGCAGAAGAAGCACCGGCUAACUCCGUGCCAGCAGGCGCGGUAAUUC
rnacentral:rRNA from 1 species